rnacentral:rRNA from 1 species
UACGUAGGUGGCAAGCGUUGUCCGGAAUUAUUGGGCGUAAAGCGCGCGCAGGCGGCCUCUUAAGUCUGAUGUGAAAGCCCCCGGCUCAACCGGGGAGGGCCAUUGGAAACUGGGAGGCUUGAGUAUAGGAGAGAAGAGUGGAAUUCCACGUGUAGCGGUGAAAUGCGUAGAGAUGUGGAGGAACACCAGUGGCGAAGGCGACUCUUGGCCUAUAACUGACGCUGAGGCGCGAAAGCGUGGGGAGCAAACAGG